AAUAUUGCGCAAUGGACGGAAGUCUGACGCAGCGACGCCGCGUGAGCGAUGAAGGCCUUCGGGUCGUAAAGUUCUGUCCUUGGGGAAGAAGGUCUUCGGACUUGACGGUACCCAAGCAGAAAGCCCCGGCUAACUACGUGCCAGCAGCCGCGGUAAUACGUAGGGGGCGAGCGUUGUCCGGAAUGACUGGGCGUAAAGGGUGCGUAUGCGGCCCGUUAAGUCAGAUGUGAAAGGCCACGGCUUAACCGUGGGAUUGCAUUUGAAACUGGAGGGCUUGAGAGUCGGAGAGGGUAGUGGAAUUCCCAGUGUAGCGGUGAAAUACGUAGAUAUUGGGAGGAACACCAGUGGCGAAGGCGACUACCUGGACGAUAACUGACGCUGAGGCACGAAAGCUAGGGGAGCAAAC
rnacentral:rRNA from 1 species